CCCAGUCAAGCCUUCAGCGAUAGUGCAUGGUCUCAGCCAUCCCCGAAGCACUAGCUCAACAGCUCUCAAUCCUCCGCAGAUGCCUUACCAAUAUCUACCGCGCGAAAACUUAUCCAUCGCGUCUGAAUCUACCGACUCUUCGCCUACUACCACCAUCUCCACCUUUGAUUCUCCGGUCAUUCAAGACACUUCUCCAAGCUCUUCACCAGAAUCACCAUCUUCUGUUACGCCGCUUCAAUCCCUUAAACUCAUGUCGCGGAUUACGAAUGGCGAUCGACCGGCUGCCCAGUUAAGGACAGAGUCGCGUUUCAAGCCAAAUCAAUCAUUCUCUACUUACCUUCGUCAGCCGGAGUCUCCAACAAGAAAAGCUCGUAAUUUAAAAAAUUUAUCGCUCAAAUUACCUACUAUCUCGUCUCACCAAACAAUAGCCACGGCUCCAAUCAGAGAAAAAACACCUAAUGUCUCAGCUCCCGCUUCUCCGAUACAGUCUAACACUAGAUGUUUACGACGCAAACCCCCGAAUCUUACAAUAAAAACGCCAUCAUUUGACAGAUCCUUUUCGAACAUUUCAGAGGCUGUUCCUCCCACUCCUAAUACCCGACCGGCUCUUCGGCAUAUCGAGUCGUCACCGUCUCUCAACUCCAUACUCUCUCCAACUACGUCAACUAAGCCUUCUCUUGCUCUUCCAGGUUCAUUGUUCCAGUCUGCAAAACGGCCCAUGCCAGGCGCUUGGGAGGAUCGUGUGGCACCGGACCGACCAUCUCCUUCAGCCCAGCACGUUUUUUCGGGCAGGGAUGCCUUGCAUGAGCUUGUUGAGGAAGAGGAUAACCUAGUUUCGCGCGAGUCAUGCAAUGGUAGUGACAAAGGUUAUCCAGAUGGACCAAUUUUAAUAUAUGAUAGCGGACUCUAUCUUUACCUAGAGCCAAGCAGUGAAGAGGCCUCAAAAUUUGACGUGGUUAUUAAUGUUGCAAAGGAGGUUGCAAAUCCAUUCAUAAGCGCUGAGCAAAGGCAGGAUACCGUUGUCUCGGUAUGGAAAGCUACAUUACCCGAUGUGCAACGACAAUCGGUGGUGGAACCUGAUACUGCACUUUCGGAAAUUUCUUUCAAAUCUGCCUUCGAAUUUCAGCCUGUAGGAACGGAGUCGCCCACGACUCCAAAGCGCCGCGCCCCUACGCCCGAGUACAUACAUGUGCCGUGGGAUCACAGUUCAGAAAUACUCGAUGACCUUUAUCCGCUUUGCGAGGUUAUCGAUAACAGGAUUUCGCAAGGAAAGAGAGUAUUGAUCCAUUGUCAACUUGGCGUCAGCAGGUCUGCAUCACUGGUUAUUGCAUAUGGCCUAUACAAAAAUCCAGAUAAGGAUUUCAACGCCAUGUACAGCAUUGUAAAGGGUAGAAGUUGCUGGGUUGGGCCCAAUAUGAGUUUAAUCUACCAACUUACCGAUUUCCGGACACGAGUUCAGCAACGGGGACCUUCCAGAUCUCCCCCGGCUGAAUGGUUUGAUGGAUCUCUAGAUGCGAAAGUUAGCACCACAUCAAAAGGCCAAGGUAACUCCUCGACCUCGAAAACCGCCCGUCCCCCAGUCCCUCUGUUCAACGCAGCCGUGGGCGAUUCAAAAUACUCCAAUGCACCCACGUUAGCAAACCCUUUUAACUGGACCAGCCCGCAAACAUCGUCGUCAAACUCAACAGUAUCAUCGUCACCAGCAACCAGCCAACAGCGCCGGAACCUUCCCCCACGUCCCCUCCCUCUCCGUGAAAAAUACCAAACAAUACACUCCCUUCGCCGUCCCCGCCACGACAACUCCGCCGUCCCUUCCCAUCGCACCUUAUCCCGUACCGCUGUCCACCAAAUGGACUUGGUCAUGCAAGACGUACCGGCAACGCCAUCCGUCCUUUCGCCCCGUGCUGCUGAGUUCUGGACAACCCCAUUCUCUCACCUCCGCACUGUCGCUGGUGAUCUUGCCUGUCGUCUCGACAAAAGUAUCGAUACCAAUACAACUAAUAGCGGUAAUGGCAAUCGUAUGUCGAUAGAGUCUAUAUCCUCCGUCGUCCGCGCAUGUCCCCCGGUGCCACCUGGUGCAGCGGACCCGCGAUCGCCCCCACAGCAACGGCGGGAGCCGGUCAUUAUGAGAAAUAUUGAUGAAUUUCUUUGAUACCUGAUUUUUCGUUUGUAUUUUUUCCUUGAAUUUGUGUGGUUGCUAUCUUGUUAGUUCUGUAAAAGAAAAAUGGAUGGACAUGGGGAAGAUGGGGUAGAGAAAUGGCGGUAAUCCUCACCCCUCUUGGUUAUUACCUUUUCGCCUCCAUUCAUUUUUUAUUUUGUAAUUUUCUGUUUCUUUCUUUUUUUUCGCGAUAAUUUCUGUUGGGCAAUGGAAACGAUGCCUGCAAAGCGAGGAAUGGCGUUUUUUUUUUUUGUUUUUUGGAGGGAAUUUUUCUGUGUUUGUCUCUCUUUCUGGAUCAUUUGAUACAACCAUCUGGGACUCGCUUGGUCAUUUCUUUUGUUUCCGCCGGGGAAUAUAUAUAUACAUACAUAUAUAAUGAGGGAAUCCAUAAAUUAUUAUUAUAUAAUUUUGGCUGAUGGGUGCGGGAUGAACGAAUUUUUUCGUCUUUUCUCUUGUCCUUCUACUCACUAUAUUUUGCAUGUCUGUGGUAUGUUUUGCAGCGAAUUUCGUUAUCAUCCUCGUUCUCUCAUUUGGGUUUUUCCUUGUCUUGUCCUCAUUUUUUCUUUGAUUUUGUUGCAGUGAGAAUAAAUGAAUAUCCCUGAUAUUUCACUCUUGAUUUCUUUUCUUCUUGCAUUUUAUUAAAAUAAAAAAGGAAAGGGCAGGGAAGGAAAGGAAAAGAAAAGCUUUGCCUGUUGGAAUCAAAUGAGAUGAAAUGAGAUGACUAUGACUAGAUGAAGAUAAAAAGUGAAUCACUACUG
rnacentral:sRNA from 1 species